rnacentral:rRNA from 1 species
UACAGAGGGGGCAAGCGUUUGUUCGGAAUUACUGGGCGUAAAGGGCGCGUAGGCGGCCUUCUAAGUCGAACGUGAAAUCCCUGGGCUCAACCCAGGAACUGCGUCCGAUACUGGAAGGCUUGAAUCCGGGAGAGGGAUGCGGAAUUCCAGGUGUAGCGGUGAAAUGCGUAGAUAUCUGGAGGAACACCGGUGGCGAAGGCGGCAUCCUGGACCGGCAUUGACGCUGAGGCGCGAAAGCCAGGGGAGCAAAGCGGG